UACGAAGGGUGCAAGCGUUACUCGGAAUUACUGGGCGUAAAGCGUGCGUAGGUGGUGAGUUAAGUCUGUCGGUGAAAGCCCCGGGCUCAACCUGGGAAUGGCGAUGGAUACUGGGCUCGCUAGAGUGCGGUAGAGGAGAGUGGAAUUCCCGGUGUAGCAGUGAAAUGCGUAGAGAUCGGGAGGAACAUCAGUUGCGAAGGCGGCUCUCUGGACCAGCACUGACACUGAGGCACGAAAGCGUGGGGAGCAAACAGG
rnacentral:rRNA from 1 species